GACGAACCGUGCGAACGUUGUUCGGAAUCACUGGGCUUAAAGGGCGCGUAGGCGGGCCAUAAAGUCAGGGGUGAAAUCCUCCAGCUUAACUGGAGAACUGCCUUUGAUACUGAUGGUCUCGAGUAAGGUAGGGGCAUGCGGAACUGAUGGUGGAGCGGUGAAAUGUGUUGAUAUCAUCAGGAACUCCGGUGGCGAGGGCGGCAUGCUGGACCUUCACUGACGCUGAGGCGCGAAAGGCGUGGGGAGCAAACAGG
rnacentral:rRNA from 1 species